rnacentral:rRNA from 10 species
GCCUAAUCCUAUACCGCCCUGAACCUAUCUGACCUCUUCUGAUCUAGGAAGGUAAGCAGGGCUGGGCCUGGUUAGUACUUGGAUAGUAGGCU